rnacentral:rRNA from 1 species
AGCAGCCGCGGUAACUCCAGCUCCAAUAGCGUAUAUUAAAGUUGCUGCAGUUAAAAAGCUCGUAGUUGAAUUUCGGGACCAUCAUGUCGGUCGUGCCUCGGUACGUACCGGUAUUGUUGGUUUCUCCCUUCUGACGAACCAUGAUGUCAUUUAUUUGGUGUUGUGGGAAAUCAGGACUGUUACUUUGAAAAAAUUAGAGUGUUUAAAGCAGGCUCACGCUUGAAUACAUUAGCAUGGAAUAAUGAAAUAGGACGUUUGAUUCUAUUUUGUUGGUUUCUAGGAUCGACGUAAUGAUUAAUAGGGAUAGUUGGGGGCAUUAGUAUUCAAUUGUCAGAGGUGAAAUUCUUGGAUUUAUUGAAGACUAACUACUGCGAAAGCAUUUGCCAAGGAUGUUUUCAUUAAUCAAGAACGAAAGUUAGGGGAUCGAAGACGAUCAAAUACCGUCGUAGUCUUAACCAUAAACUAUGCCGACUAGGGAUCGGAUGAUGUUAAUUUUUAAUGACUCAUUCGGCGCCUUACG